rnacentral:rRNA from 1 species
UACGGAGGGUGCAAGCGUUAUCCGGAAUUACUGGGCGUAAAGGGUGCGUAGGCGGCGCGGUAAGUCGGGUGUGAAAUCUCGGAGCUUAACUCCGAAACUGCAUUCGAUACUGCCGUGCUUGAGGACUGGAGAGGAGACUGGAAUUUACGGUGUAGCGGUGAAAUGCGUAGAUAUCGUAAGGAAGACCAGUGGCGAAGGCGGGUCUCUGGACAGUUCCUGACGCUGAGGCACGAAGGUCAGGGGGGCAAACGGG